rnacentral:rRNA from 1 species
AUUGAACGCUGGCGGCAGGCCUAACACAUGCAAGUCGAACGGUAACAGAAAGCAGCUUGCUGCUUUGCUGACGAGUGGCGGACGGGUGAGUAAUGUCUGGGAAACUGCCUGAUGGAGGGGGAUAACUACUGGAAACGGUAGCUAAUACCGCAUAACGUCGCAAGACCAAAGAGGGGGACCUUCGGGCCUCUUGCCAUCGGCUGUGCCCAGAUGGGAUUAGCUAGUAGGUGGGGUAAAGGCUCACCUAGGCGACGAUCCCUAGCUGGUCUGAGAGGAUGACCAGCCACACUGGAACUGAGACACGGUCCAGACUCCUACGGGAGGCAGCAGUGGGGAAUAUUGCACAAUGGGCGCAAGCCUGAUGCAGCCAUGCCGCGUGUAUGAAGAAGGCCUUCGGGUUGUAAAGUACUUUCAGCGAGGAGGAAGGGAGUAAAGUUAAUACCUUUGCUCAUUGACGUUACCCGCAGAAGAAGCACCGGCUAACUCCGUG